rnacentral:rRNA from 1 species
UGUGCCCAGAUGGGAUUAGCUUGUUGGUGAGGUAACGGCUCACCAAGGCGACGAUCCCUAGCUGGUCUGAGAGGAUGACCAGCCACACUGGAACUGAGACACGGUCCAGACUCCUACGGGAGGCAGCAGUGGGGAAUAUUGCACAAUGGGCGCAAGCCUGAUGCAGCCAUGCCGCGUGUAUGAAGAAGGCCUUCGGGUUGUAAAGUACUUUCAGCGGGGAGGAAGGUGUUGUGGUUAAUAACCGCAGCAAUUGACGUUACCCGCAGAAGAAGCACCGGCUAACUCCGUGCCAGCAGCCGCGGUAAUACGGAGGGUGCAAGCGUUAAUCGGAAUUACUGGGCGUAAAGCGCACGCAGGCGGUCUGUCAAGUCGGAUGUGAAAUCCCCGGGCUCAACCUGGGAACUGCAUUCGAAACUGGCAGGCUUGAGUC